GGGGGUGUAAAGGUUUCGACAGGUUUCGGUUUGAUCCCGGCUGCAGUGGAGCGGUGACCAUAUCACCAAUAAAUUUAAACGCAAACACAAAUAGAAGCGCGUCUUACGCGUUCGCUGCUUAAUUUAACCUAAGGGUUUGCAGCGCCCGGUCCUGAAAUUAGCCGUUAGAUCAGGACUGCGUAACUGAAACGGACAGGAUUUUCCCGAUGCCUGUAAGGAAUGUCCCCAGAGCUCACAGGCAGAUUCAUCCGGAGGAUUGUCUGCUCUCAUUCCGGAUGUCUGAUCAAGCAGCAGACUAAACUGUAGACGCCGCGAUGUGGGACCACUCUUGGACAGGGGUUCGACUCCCCUCAUCUCCACCA
rnacentral:tmRNA from 1 species